AUUGAACGCUGGCGGCAGGCCUAACACAUGCAAGUCGAGCGGAGCCGCGGACGGGCGAGUAAUGUAUGGGGAUCUGCCCGAUAGAGGGGGAUAACUACUGGAAACGGUGGCUAAUACCGCAUACUAUCAGAUGAGCCUAGGUCGGAUUAGCUAGUUGGUGGGGUAAAGGCCCACAAAGGCGACGAUCCGUAACUUGUCUAAGAAGAUGGUCAGUCACACUGGAACAGAGACACGGUCCAGAGUACUACGGGAGGCAGCAGUGGGAAAUAUUGCACAAUGGGCGAAAGCCUGAUGCAGCCAUGCCGCGUGUAUGAAGAAGGCCUUAGGAUUGUAAAGCACUUUAAGUUGAGGGGCGUUGCCAACAGAAUAAGCACCGGCUAACUUCGUGCCAGCAGCCGCGGUAAUAC
rnacentral:rRNA from 1 species